UCUUUUUCCACCGGAGCUUGCUCCACCGGAAAAAGANGAGUGGCGAACGGGUGAGUAACACGUGGGUAACCUGCCCAUCAGAAGGGGAUAACACUUGGAAACAGGUGCUAAUACCGUAUAACAAUCNAAACCGCAUGGUUUUGAUUUGAAAGGCGCUUUCGGGUGUCGCUGAUGGAUGGACCCGCGGUGCAUUAGCUAGUUGGUGAGGUAACGGCUCACCAAGGCCACGAUGCAUAGCCGACCUGAGAGGGUGAUCGGCCACAUUGGGACUGAGACACGGCCCAAACUCCUACGGGAGGCAGCAGUAGGGAAUCUUCGGCAAUGGACGAAAGUCUGACCGAGCAACGCCGCGUGAGUGAAGAAGGUUUUCGGAUCGUAAAACUCUGUUGUUAGAGAAGAACAAGGAUGAGAGUAACUGUUCAUCCCUUGACGGUAUCUAACCAGAAAGCCACGGCUAACUACGUGCCAGCAGCCGCGGUAAUACGUAGGUGGCAAGCGUUGUCCGGAUUUAUUGGGCGUAAAGCGAGCGCAGGCGGUUUCUUAAGUCUGAUGUGAAAGCCCCCGGCUCAACCGGGGAGGGUCAUUGGAAACUGGGAGACUUGAGUGCAGAAGAGGAGAGUGGAAUUCCAUGUGUAGCGGUGAAAUGCGUAGAUAUAUGGAGGAACACCAGUGGCGAGGCGGCUCUUGGUCUGUAACUGACGCUGAGGCUCGAAAGCGUGGGGAGCAAACAGGAUUAGAUACCCUGGUAGUCCACGCCGUAAACGAUGAGUGCUAAGUGUUGGAGGGUUUCCGCCCUUCAGUGCUGCAGCUAACGCAUUAAGCACUCCGCCUGGGG
rnacentral:rRNA from 1 species